AGGCUGCAUGGCGCACGGUUCUGCCGUCGCGCUCCCUCCGUGCUCCCUCCCGAGUCCCAAGCCGGUAUCCGCGCCCCCUCUCCCUGACGCCGCGAUGGCCGCGCCCCUCUCCCUCCCCGCGGCGUGAUGCCCGCAGCCCCCCUCCCCUGGUGCCCUCGCCCCCGCGCCCCCUCUCCGUGACGCUGCGAUGGCCGCGCCCCCUCUCCCUCCCCCGGCGUGAAGCCCGCAGCCCCCUCCCCCGGUGCCAUGGUGCCCUCGCCUCUGCCCCCGAGAUUGUCGCCGAGCGCCCACCCCUCAUUCCCGUACCCUCGCCCAAGAUCGCGGAUCUACGCCCGAUGUGGGCGUGGGGCUGCGUCCGAGAUCGUGAAGCCCCAUCGUGCCCUCGCUCGAGAUCUCCCCCUCGCCGGUCCUGCUCGCGAAGCCCUGCCGUGAUAGUCGCGCCCACUUCACCCGUCGUGACAGCCGCCUCCACGUCCACACCCAUGGGGAGCGGAUGCGGGCCACAGAUCUCCUUCCAAACUGCCAAACUCGAAGGCGACAGCCUGACAAGGGCCGACCUUCCAUGGUAGGCGGGCCCCUUCCAUGGUAGGCGAGAUCUGCGGCCAUGGUCAAAGGGCCGUUGGGGCUGGAUUUCGCAGUCGCAACACUGAACUACUGGGUGCACAAGGGCAUUGCCUUCAUCUGCGAGAUUAGGAAUCGGAUCCUGUUUAAUAUAUAAGCUACUGGCCAAUGAUUAUGGAUCUUGCUGGUAGAACGAUAUGAUCCGCGCGUCUGUAUUCCGUAAAGUUCUUACGAUGAUUUUUAUUUUGUGUAUCUGAUGCCACAUUAUGGGUAAAUCCGGAGAUCUAUUUUGUAAAAAGUAGUAAUAUGGUCUGGUGCUGCUGGGUAAAUCUGGAGAUCUAUUUUGUAAAAAGUAGUAAUCUGAACACCUUUUUGGACUGUCUUAUAAGUGGCUUCUAUAUUUCACUGCACAUUUCAACAAAUGGAACCAGGGAAACAGAUAAAGGUCAUGAAAGGAUUCUAGAAACGAUCAACACAGUUGGACAUGAUGGUAAUAACAUUGACACUGCUGAUUUUUGUUUAUGUUACUUGAAAGUUUAAAGAUCUCCUGUGUCAUAUAAUUUAUGCUAUAGACAUGAAUUAUUGGCUACCUUUUCCCCCUGCCCCUGCCUUUUCAAAUCCUUUUUGUUGAGCCACUUCCCUAGCUUGACAAUCUAUUGUUACCUCCGGCAAAAGGUGAGUUCUUGGCUGCCUUUUCCCCCCGCCCCUGCCUUUUCAACCUAUGUUCUUUUCAUGGGUAGCUUGAUUCAGUCGGUGAAUUGAGCUUCCGGCUUCGACAGGAGACUCAGAGCACACUCACGGCUGCUUUAUUGUUUAAUCACACCGCUAAUCGUGUUAUGAAGAGAACACAUGGAAAGCAUACCAACUCAAUUCUUGAGACUUCUAUUGUAAAUGCUUCUUUUUGAAGAUCUCAGGUGAGCUGUGUACAUGUAAUUUGUUUUUGUUUUUAAGUGUUUUCAAUCUUAAGCGAAGUACUUAUCAAUUUGUUAUUAUCUUGUUUAAUCACACCGCCAAUCGUGUUCUGAAGGGAACUAGACCAUCAGAGCAUCCACUGUAUUUGGACUUGUUCACAUUUAACUUCCGUCUGCUAGAUUUUUGGUAUAACAUGUGUUCUCUGCAACAAUUACUUUAUACCUACGUACCAUAACAUGAGAUCGAAAAGAUUUAUUUUCACAACUAUAUAGAUUUGUAAAGAGUUUCAUGAGAAAGGUGGUUACCUUUCUGCCCAGCUCCUCUUAGUGGCCUCCUUUCCAUUUCCCACAUCUUUGCACUGCUGCUGCUGACUGAAUUUCAUCCACGUAUAAUUCACUGUUUCACUACUUCCUCACUAUGAUUCACCUGCUGGUGCUGCUGCAAUCUACAUUCAGUGGACACAAACCAGACAAUUCACCUGGACACAAAACUACAGCAACAACAACAGUGAACCAUUCAUUUCAAUUUAGACAAAGCAGCAACAGUUUUAGUCGAUCAUUCUAACUCAAACCAAGCAGCAGCAGCAGCAGUGUCGACCAUUCUUACAAAUUCAGAGCAAGCAGCCUCAGUGCCGACCAUCGUUUCCACUUUAGACCAAGAAGCAGCAGUGUCAACCAUUCUUUCAAAUUCAGAGCAAUCAACCUCAGUGUCGACCAUUAUUUCCAAUUUAGACCAACAUGCAGCAGUGUCAACCAUUCUUUCCCCAAGGUUCUCUUCUUUUCUUUUAUUAAUCGUUUGAUUACUGUUUGUUUCAGCUAUUUACGUGGCAACAAACUCACUAGACAUAUAACCCAGGACUAGGGAACAUGAGUAAACUUAGCUACUUGUAGCUGGAUGACUAGAUGGGCAAUUAGCAGGAGCAGAAGGAUCCCACAUCGCUAAUCAUCAAUUGCUGAUGCUAGAGGCUAAGCUAUUUUUGGGUGCUUUUUCCUCCUAUGAUCGGCAUAGAGACAUGCAGAUGGAUAUUGAUAAUAUGUCUUAUGAGGCCCAGAACAUCUGCAAUUUAGUUUUUGAUAAGUCCUCCAAGAUUUGGUUAGUUGCUUCAUGCUUUCUCUUUUUCUCUCUUAAUACUUAGCUCAAUUUUGUUCAUACUGGUAUGUUUGAUCUGUGCUAUAAUGCUAUGUGCUAUUUUAUUUCAGUCUAGGAGGUUACGACAGAGUCUCAUUCGAUUUUCAGUGAUUCAGUUUUCAGUGAAAAUACUACUAAACUGAAUUGUCUAUUCUCCUCCUUGUUCUGGUGCUUGUUUCUAGAAUCUCUAUUUGCAAGGAUAUCUUUUGAGACUAUGUUUCUGCUAACCCCAGGUUUCUUUUCAGCACCACAAAUUUUCUUAUUAGUCUUCUUCACUAUAUUCUUUUUUAGCAAUGCUAGAUCAUCCUUCAAUAUAGAGCUAAUGAAGCACCUGGUUUAGUAUUAUUAAGUUUAGAUGAGUGACCCAUAUUUUGAAACUAUUCUUGGAAAACUGCACCAAUAGCCAGUCUCGUUAGGAGAAACAUAGACCGAGUCUUCAUAAUCUUUGUUUUUCCUCUGCCUUAUGUCAAUUUUCACCCAAUAUCUAAAAGCAAAUGUUUUAUCUUGUUACUGAGAUCCUACUUAUGUUUGUUCAGGGGUCCUCCCCUUGGCUUCUUCAUUUCAACCUUGUUGAGCACAUGGCCAGAUGUGGCUUGCAGAUCAACCACCUUAGUGUUCUUCAUUGAAAUCCUAUCGUCCCCAGUGUCUUCAUCCACCUUGCAAUCAUUACUCUCCAUCACAACGCCAUUGUUCUUCGGCAGGAGCUUUAAAACACCUCUUUAUUGGAAUCCUACCAUUACCAGCCUUCCCAUCCACCUCAGUUUGACUUGACAGAAUCUUACCAUCACCGGUAAUACCCCUUUUCCCUUGCAACCUUAAAACCUCCUAUUGGCUAGAAUCAGUUGCUUUGCCCUGAUCAGUCUCGAAAACAUGCUACUGCUAAACUGAAACAUGCUACUACUAAGCAACUUGCUUAACUGAUACUGCUAAGCCACUACUACUUGCUAAUUAGAACUUGUUCAAACUUGUUAAACUGCUAUUUGCUAGCUGAAGCCACUGGUAACUAAAAACUGCUAUUGCUAAGCCACUGCUACCUACUAACUGAGGUCAACCUUAGCUGUUUCUUCUCAGUUUUGGCUGACUCAAUUUUCUAAACCCAACCUUUCAUUAUCUCAAUUUCUCAUGAGGAUAUUACCUGAUGUUGUGCAAACAUACACUAGAGACUAAUCAAUAUCGCUAAAAAAGAAUAGAUUAGUGUACGGUCGUCAAAAGAGUCUAUAUUGAUUCUUUAGAAAUAAUUUGUGCGAUAUUGAUAAUGUUUGUUCGACAUCAAUUAAGUCUAUUUAGAUUGGCAUAUUUAUAAUAAUAUUAUGGCGCAUUUUGUCCAACAAAUUUUGCAUAUAAUAGUAUUAUUUGUCGUACCAUAUAUAUUUUAUACUACAACUGAUAUGAUUAUUUAACUUGCAGUAUUCUAGAAUUUGCUACCCUACAACUCAUAUGAUUAUUUGACUAUGCACAUGUCUCCAAGAAUAUUGUAGGGAAACUACAACAGAUUUGUGCCAUGUUUUACUCUGAUUUUGGAGUUUUCUGCUUAACUGAGGCGAAGCGCAACCACCAGGUUGGCUGUUUUAGAUCUGUCUCCUAGACUGCCCUUUGCUCAAGGGAAAUCCCUCCUUUUCAUUUAACGCAAAAGAAACUUAUUCUAUUUAUUUGUAUCUACGAAAUCUGGCGUCAAAUGUUCAGUUGAACUCAGAUGUGUGAGACUCAACUGAAGAUCCCAAAUCAUCACAUUAUUUCCCCGUCGAAAUCAUUUGUGUUUCUUAGAGAGAAAAAAUGGUUUAUGCUUCUGUCUCCUAGACUGACCUUUGCUCAAGGGCAAUCCCUCCUUUUCAUUUAACGCAAAAGAAAUUUAUUCUGUUGAACAGUAUUUUCAUCUUUAUACUUAUUUGGUACUGCAACAGCAAUGAGAGGAGCAAUAUCCUUGACACCUUAAUUUUGUAUUGCCUUACAAAGGAUUUUUUAGCUGUCGCUUGCCAAGUAUAGGUCGUAUUGUGGGUAGUCACACCAAAACUAAAACUAAUGGCAAUUGGUUUGCAAUAGGCAGUGCUCUUUCUGUUAGCUCUGGAUGUCAGGGCAAUGAACAAACACGUUGAGUAUGAUAGUGAUGCUAAAAUUACUGCAAUGGGUUGAAGCCCUACCAUGUGGCAACCAUUGAUCCAUGCCCAAAAUGUGCCUGCCACUGGUGUUCCUGUCCCAACACUCGAUCAACAUGCAAGUAAAAAAUGAAGCAUAGAGCCAAACGAUGCGAGAGAAGUAUGGUCUACACAUGAGCCAGUUCACAUAAACCCUUCAGACCCAAGCAGGUACCAGCAGAAUGGCACGCCAGCUAAAGAAAGGAGUCAAUGCACUGUAAUGCGAAGAAUUCUUCAUGACAUCCUAUGAGAUAAUGGUUUUCUUGAAUGGGCUAGCUCAAGUUGUGCGGUUUGGUGUCAUGGUGUUGUUCAAACUUCGCAGUGGUGUGUGAAAUAGAAGAAUCCCAAUUCCCAAGCAUAUUAUUUGUCACGCUUGUUUGCCGGCAGGUACAGGGGAAAUACGACAGCAUCAUCGUGGAGGUGAAGAGCUACUACAUGUCGAUGAGCAGGUACAGGGAUGAUAAAAAAAGAAAGGUAUAUCUUCACGUCGAUGAGCGGGUACAGGGAUGACAAAAAAAGAAAGGGUGAGAUUAUGAAGGUUUAUGCCAAUGAUCAAAUAAAAACAUGUGUUGAGUUUCCAGAGUGUUUUGUAUAGGAUUGCUGGUCAAACAUGAGCUGUUAGUGAGAGAAGAAUUGUGCCCUCUUCCCUCUGGUUCUCCCUGAUUCUCACAGGUGUGUUUUGCACUGGCACACUUACAUUGGUGCUCUUUCUUUUUGCUGCUAGCAUAAGUACUAUACUACUAUGGCCUACUUAAGAACUAGGAAAGUUUAUGUUAUCGAAUCAUCAAACAUGUUAGCAUCUUGUUAGUAUUAAGAAGUAGUAGUGAAUCAUUUACAUAUAUUUCUAAUUUGUCAAUAGCAGAUGAACAAUCUUCUACAUGCAAAUUUCUGUUAUGCGCGCUUGUGGUCAUUGGCAGGAAGACUCAUGUGGUCGGAAGAGGGCUGAUGAGCACGAUCACCAUGGAUGUGGACACCACGGCAAGGGUGGACGAGUUCUUGGUUACCACCUUUGUAGGCCCAUUGGUGGAGGAAGACUUGACGAGAGGUGUGUGGUGAUCACCAUCUGAAUGUGGGCGUCCAAGCUUCUUUGAUGCCGGGUGUAUUGUCCUAAUUGUGACUAUCGUCGCUGGUCGAACAUUUGGCUAGCAUCGAUGAUGUAUACUGCAAUGUGAAUCCAAUAAUUGGCUUGGCUCUCCAUACAACCAAUAACUAGGAGAUCAGGUGAUUGCUAAUUGGACAAUAGGGGUGCUCGUGUUGUAAUGGUGUAAUAGGUUCAAUGCCGUCGUUUUUACAGUCACAGUAGUCGUGUGUUAAGUGUCCAAGGUGAUUUACCUCUGCCCUGUUUCCGGUGUCUUAGCCUGAUUGGAUAGCUUCUGGGGUGCGGGAUGUGAUGGAGCAAAGGGAUUAAAACAUGCUGAUUUAUGUUGCCCAAGGAAUUCGCCAGUUGCUUAACAUUUUGUUUUUGGCAUACUUCGUAGUCAAUUACUGUCCACGGAUUCUUGCAUAUGUGAAACUGAGGAACAUUUACUUCAAAUAUCAUUAUUGGCUUGGCUCUGAUUA